GAAAUGCGAUAAGUAGUGUGAAUUGCAGAAUUCAGUGAAUCAUCGAAUCUUUGAACGCACAUUGCGCCCUUUGGUAUUCCUUAGGGCAUGCCUGUUCGAGCGUCAUCUAAACCUUCAAGCCCUGCUUGGUGUUGGGUGCCUGUCCCGCCUCCGCGCGCGGACUCACCUCAAAUCCAUUGGCGGCCCCCGCGUCGGCCACGAGCGCAGCAGAAACGCGAACUCGUGAGCCCGUCCGGGCGGCUCCCAGAAGCUACACCCACCCAGUUUGACCUCGGAUCAGGUAGGAAUACCCGCUGAACUUAAGC
rnacentral:misc_RNA from 1 species